rnacentral:lncRNA from 1 species
AAAUAUUAACUUAAAUACUGUUUAACUUCAUUUAAAUUUAAUUUAAUAUAAUCCAAUAUGAUAUUGUAUUAAACAUAUGUCACCAUUUUACAUAAUCUAACAUAAUCUAAUCUAAUUUAAUCUAGUUCAAUUCAAUCAUGUGUGCUAAAUCGUAGUUAUAAAUUUUUCAUUAAUUCCUUUCUUGUUUCCUUUCAUUUAUUUAUCCACCUUCCUUUGAAGCAUUUGAGGCUUUGGCCAAGAACGUAGUUUUUAGAGGAAGAAAAACUGGACUUGUAGCAUUGGACUCUAUUUUCACGAUCUGUCCAACAGUACCAUGAUUCGUGUCAACAGAACAACAGAAACUUCAGAAUGCGACCAUAAUAUUGUCAUAAGGCCGCGGCUAAGUUACAUACAUACAAAUGUAUGUAACAGACGAAAUAAUGAGCGUUGGAUUUUGAUUCCGAAAUCGAACGAAUGUGGAUAAAUGUGCUUUAAAAUN